rnacentral:rRNA from 1 species
UACGGGGGGGGCAAGCGUUGUUCGGAAUUACUGGGCGUAAAGAGCUCGUAGGCGGUCUGUCACGUCGGAUGUGAAAACUCGGGGCUCAACCCCGAGCCUGCAUACGAUACGGGCAGACUUGAGUUCGGCAGGGGAGACUGGUAUUCCUGGUGUAGCGGUGAAAUGCGCAGAUAUCAGGAGGAACACCGGUGGCGAAGGCGGGUCUCUGGGCAGUAACUGACGCUGAGGAGCGAAAGCGUGGGGAGCGAACAGG